rnacentral:rRNA from 1 species
UACGAAGGGGGCGAGCGUUGUUCGGAAUCACUGGGCGUAAAGGGCGCGUAGGCGGCCCUUCUUGUCGCGUGUGAAAGCCCCGGGCUCAACCUGGGAACGGCGCGCGAGACGGGAGGGCUGGAGUUCGGGAGAGGAGCGUGGAAUUCCCAGUGUAGAGGUGAAAUUCGUAGAUAUUGGGAAGAACACCGGUGGCGAAGGCGGCGCUCUGGACCGAGACUGACGCUGAAAAGCGAAAGCCAGGGGAGCAAACGGG